CAUGGCUGCGCUGCCUGGGACCGUACCGAGGAUGAUGCGCCCAGCGCCCGGACAGAAUUAUCCCCGCACCGGAUUCCCUUUGGAAGUCUCGACCCCGCUGGGCCAAGGCCGGGUCAACCAGCUGGGGGGCGUCUUUAUCAACGGCAGACCCCUCCCCAACCACAUCCGCCACAAGAUCGUGGAAAUGGCGCACCACGGGAUCCGGCCCUGCGUGAUCUCCCGCCAGCUGCGCGUCUCGCACGGCUGCGUGUCGAAAAUCCUCUGCCGGUACCAAGAGACCGGAUCCAUCCGCCCCGGCGCCAUCGGGGGCAGCAAGCCCAGGCAGGUCGCCACUCCGGACGUGGAGAAAAAAAUUGAAGAAUACAAACGGGAAAACCCGGGGAUGUUUAGCUGGGAGAUCCGGGACCGACUUCUCAAAGAUGGCCAUUGCGACCGGAGCACCGUCCCUUCAGGUUUAGUGAGUUCGAUUAGCCGGGUUCUCCGAAUCAAGUUCGGGAAGAAAGAGGAAGAGGACGACUGCGACAAGAAAGAGGAGGACGGCGAGAAGAAAGCCAAGCACAGCAUCGACGGCAUUUUGGGUGACAAAGGCAACAGGCUGGAUGAAGGCUCCGAUGUUGAGUCCGAACCUGAUCUGCCCCUCAAGCGGAAGCAGCGCCGCAGCCGGACCACCUUCACCGCGGAACAGCUGGAAGAACUAGAGAAAGCCUUCGAGAGGACCCAUUACCCUGACAUCUACACACGAGAAGAGCUAGCUCAGAGGACCAAGCUCACCGAGGCGAGAGUCCAGGUCUGGUUCAGCAACCGGCGAGCCCGAUGGCGCAAACAGGCUGGUGCCAACCAGCUGGCCGCCUUCAACCACCUCUUGCCAGGGGGCUUUCCACCCACCGGGAUGCCGACUUUGCCCCCUUACCAGCUGCCAGAUUCAACCUACCCAACGACCACUCUUUCCCAAGAUGGGGGCAGCACCGUCCACAGACCCCAACCUCUCCCGCCAUCCACCAUGCACCAGGGGGGGUUGGCCGCUGCCGCGGUGGACUCCAGCUCUACCUAUGGGGCCCGACACAGCUUCUCCAGUUACUCUGACAGCUUCAUGAACCCCACAGCUCCAGCGAAUCACAUGAAUCCAGUCAGCAACGGCCUCUCUCCACAGGUGAUGAGCAUCCUAAGCAACCCCAGCGGGGUCCCCCCGCAGCCCCAGGCCGACUUCUCCAUCUCCCCACUCCACAGCAGCCUGGACACGGCCAACUCCAUCUCGGCCAGCUGCAGCCAGCGCAGUGACUCCAUCAAGUCCGUGGAGAGCCUCCCGACUUCGCAGUCUUACUGCCCGCCCACCUACACCACCACCGGCUACAGCGUGGACCCCGUGGCCGGCUACCAGUACGGACAGUACGGGCAAACUGCCGUUGACUAUUUGACCAAGAAUGUCAGUCUGUCCACACAGCGCAGGAUGAAGCUCGGGGAACAUUCGGCUGUGCUGGGCCUGCUACCUGUCGAGACGGGCCAAGCUUACUGACAGGUUCACCCACAUGACGUCUCUUCCACCGACAGUCUGCCGUCAAUGAGACACAAGAUUAACAGGAAAAGAAAGAAAAGAAUCCCACCGCUGCCACCAGUUCGCAAAGGACCAACCCCCAUGCUUCAUGCUUCUCCUCCUGGAACUCACGACAACGGACUUUUGCAAUCCUGCUUCCCCUGCAGUGGCAGCCAGGGUGGAGUGGAAGGAGACUGAAGAACUGGCCAUCUCUCCAAAUUCUUAUCCACAUAUAACGUCAUCAAUCGCUUCAAGGACCAGAGAUGAUGAGCUUGGUCAAAUGAGAUUUCCAGUGUUCCCGCUCUCCUUGACCAGCUCAACACAACCAACGUGGAUGGACCUUCCCCUUGAUGUCACAUGGGGCUUAGUCAUUGUGGAUUCUGUCUUCUUCGUAAUAAUAUAGAUAUAGGUUUAGAUAUAUUCUGUUUGUCCACCUACCUGACCCCUGGCCCCCACUCACCAGCCCCGUUUUUCUUAAUUGUACUAUGACCUACAUUUGCCUGAGAAGGUAAAGUCUGGGUUGAUUGAUGUGUUGAUUUUGGGACCAAGUGGGACGUGUUUGGACCAAAAACGAAGAAGGAAUGGCUGAGAAAAGGCAAUGUGAACCAUGAAUGUUGGGUUGAUCUGUUCCAGCACUAGGUCAAUGGAUGUGAGGGGAGAAGGGGGAAGAGAUCAGGUGUUUGUAAGUUUUUAUGGAGUAGGGACCACAAGGAGCUCAGUCAUAUGGGAAUGGUGUUUGAGAAAGCAGGAGGUUUGGUUCGAUGGAACGCCACGCAGCAUUCCCUAGAAGGACAAGUGCUCCAUAGGGACCAGCUAAAAAUGAGUUAACAUUCUUCCAUGCAGAUAGUCAUGCAACAGCUUGGUGGAAGAUGGGGUUUGCCACAAGGGAUGGAACAGCUUGGAUCUUCAUGGGGUUGGACACGAUUGCAAAGGUCAUCCAAAGGGGGGAUGGGAGCGUGGCACAAGGCAUAAUGGCAUGGCUCAAUCCGUCACCAUGGCAGCUUCUACAACCAGCCACUUUCUGGAUGGCUUGAAGUGGCACCUGUCUUUCAGCCCCACAGUUGCCAAGGAGUCCACCUAAGUAAGAAGUCACACCCCAAAAUAAGAGGGGUGCCUUUGCUUCAUGCACAAUUCUAUAGGAAAAAAAAGAAGAUAUCCAGGAACGGGAGGGGUCAAUAUGGGAUGACCCCCCCAUCCUAGCCAGCAUUCCAGAAGUGGGUAGAUUCUCCUCCCAUGACCCCAAAUCAGUGGUCCUACCAACCUGCUAACCCAUCACUCUUGGGAAAGGAGCCGUAGUCCCUUCGAGAGACCAUCGGGUUCACUUCCUAUUAUCUCUGGCGAAGGCGCCCAACAGAGAAGACCACACCCGUGCAACCACGGAGCUCAAGCGAGGAGGACUUUAAUGGUUGCUCUCCUCGAUUCAUCAUCUACCCCCACCACCUUGAAUGUUCCACUUUUAAAACACUCGCUGAAGUCUGUAUAUAUAGAUCACACCCUUUUAAAAAUGUUCUUAAGAAAGGUUUGUGGCAAAAAAAGGACCCAUACAUUCCAUGUUCAUUGACUCCUGCCUUGAGCAGAGGGGGGGGGUUGGACUCGAUGGCCUUAGAGGCCCCCUCCAACUCUGUUCUUCUCUGAUCAUUCCUAUGACGAGCCGUCAGAUCCCAUGCGGUUAAUUCUGAAUUCCAUGCGCUUUAGAUGCACCGCCAGGUUUUCCUCCUCCACCACUUCCUCUGUCAAUUUCCAAGGAGGUGUUUUAGAGAUCUCUCACUCAACAGAAACCCGUCUCCCAGUCCAGACCUUCCGCUGGGAUGAAUUGGGGGAAUCUGGGAUUUCCCAUAAGAGAGAAUUUGAUGCGCAGUGUACGCACAACUUGGGAGCCGUGGCUGGACGGAGGUGAUGAGAUGGUUGCUCUUGUUAUUGUGUUUAGGGGAAACGAGGAGUUCCUUUCUGUUCUCCCCCCGCCCCCGGGCAUAAUUCCGAUAUGAUUUUAUGUCUUUUUGUGUAUUGUUUAACUCCCCCACAUCCGGACGGGUCCUGCACUCCUGGUGGGCAGAGGGAGGGGGAAAAGACACACCCCUACCGCUCAGAGAUUUUCGUUAUUGUAUUUAAUGUUUCUAACUUGGCAACCUUAACCACUUCAUAUACCCAAACCUGGAGUAAUAUUAUCUGUAGAACAUACCUUUAAUCCUAGUAACCGCACAUAUGUUGCUUCUGUGUUUGAGUCAUAGCUUAUUUCGCUCCAUAUGUACAUGUGCGUGAGUGCAUGGGUGUACAAGGGAGGGCAAAUGAGUGAGGGUGUGUGUGUGAGAGAAAGGGUGUGUGUGCGUGGGUGGGUGCGAGAGAGAGAGAGAGAGAGAGAAUAUGUGUUCAUGUGUGUAUGUAGAUAUAUAUAAAUAUAUAUAUAAUCACCCCAUAAUUUAUUCAGCUAUAUGGAGUCGUAGAGUAGAAAAACCAAACUGGGUAUUUUGCUUUAAGUACCUCCGCUGCCUGUAGGUGUCUCUCUCUCUGUAACUCAGGCGUUAACUGUUAUACAUUAAAAGGAAGAAA